UGUCAGUUGGGUCUCCUCAUUAUUCCUUCGUGCCUCUAACGGAAAAGGGAUGGCACCACAUCUGUCAAAAUUUUGUUUUGAGUUGUCAAUUUCCGUUGUUUUUAAACCAUAUAACAAGAUGCUUCAAAGGAUAAUUAAAACAAAUUUAAUUAAAAUUUUUUGAAAGUGAAACUUUUUGUAACUGUUUGGUGUUUAAAAACUAAUCAGGAGGCAGUAAUACGGAUACGAUGGAGGGUAGAAACCAAGUUAAAUAAAUAAACACAUGUAAUAAAAAUCCUACAUCAAUAGAAAUGGAAGAUCCACCCGAUUUUUGUUUAGAUCAAAUAUUUCAAAACCUCCAUAUUUAUGAUGGAAUAAGAAUCAAUAGGGUAUCUAAACGUUGGCUUGUGAAAAUUUAACGAAAAUACUGGGUUUUUUUUGUACUCAAUGGACUGAUUCGCUUGGAUUCUUUUCCUAGCAGUAUGGAGAAAAUCAGACUAGAAAUUGACACAACUAAAUUAAUUGAAAACGCGACAGAAUCAAGGAAUUUGCUAUCAACUGCAGAAAAAUAGUUUUUCUCAAUUUAUCAAAUAAUAACCUGACGCACGGAAGCAUUUCAGAGAUAACGCACAAAAUAAGAGGUGAAAAUCGAUGAAGACUGAAAAGUUUAGAAAUUUUUAAUUGCAGUGUAUGUUUCGAAAUUAAAAAAAAAAAACUUAUGCGUCUUGGUCGUAGGGGCGAUCACUGUUAAAAAGGCUUUUUGUUUAAAUUAUAAUGUCCAUACUAAUCUCUUAAAAGUUUUUGUGGAAAAAAUUAAUUUUUAGUACAAAUGAUUCAUUUUC